UUUUACAGACCGCAAACUCUGUUAGGGACUGUUCUCACGGCUCUCUUUCCGAAGUGGUUGCUCUGGUAACGUGUUAAUUUAUGUUUACCGUGGCACUAUCAGUGAGAUACACCAGCAGAAGAUCUCAAAAACGGCAGCGGUGAAACGAUUAAAGGCCGUGUGGUCGGGCACUGUCGCAUCUAGCUACCAAGCGGCAAACGGGUGCAGAGUGACAGAGGAUAUGGGUUUUUUAUUUUGUUUGUUUUUUUUUUAUUUUCAAAAUCUUCCAUCACAAGUUUCCUAGUUUUCGCCUAAUACCUAUUAAUAGAGGCAGCUGUGAUGACCACAGCGUAGGCAAUGCACUUAUCUGAUGUCUAAAGCAAGAAUGAAGCCUCAUGACACAUUUCUGUGCUUUCCAUUUUAUGCAACAGCACUGGUGUUUUUUGGUGUUCAGAAAGCUGCACAGUCAAGUCCUGCUGUUCGUCUGACUGCUAAUCCUCCAUGGCCAGAUGUGUUCCCAGGAGAGACAAUUACUCUCAGCUGUCAGGUUAUUGAAUCUGAGGGAUGGACAUUUGUGUGGACCAGACACAGACAGGGGAGUCUAACACAACUUCCAGCCUCCAGUAGUAACGGCUCUGUGUCUGUGUUGGUCCUAAGUGCUGUGGAAGAGAGACAGAGCGGAAUGUAUCAGUGUGAAGCUGUAAAAGGACAUGAGUGACCUUUCAGUAACAUCCAUACCAUAACAGUCUC